rnacentral:rRNA from 1 species
GACGAACGCUGGCGGCGUGCCUAAUACAUGCAAGUAGAACGCAGUUGCGAACGGGUGAGUAACGCGUAGGUAACUGCCUCAUAGUGGGGGUUAAAUAUUGGAAACGAUAGCUAAUACCGCCUACUGUGAGAUGGACCUGCGUUGUAUUAGCUAGUUGGUGAGGUAAAUGCUCACAAAGGCGACGAUACAUAGCAGACCUGAUAGGGUGGUCGGGCACACGUGGACUGGGACACGGCCCAGACUCCUACGGGGAGGAGCAGGAGGGAAUCUUCGGCAAUGGGCGGAAGUCUGACCGAGCAACGCCGCGUGAGGGAAGAAGGUUUUCGGAUCGGAAAGCGCUGUUUUUUGGGGAGCGGUAACUAACCAGAAAGGGACGGCUAACUACGUGCCAGCAGCCGCGGUAAUUC